rnacentral:rRNA from 1 species
CACGGGGGGAGCAAGCGUUGUUCGGAAUCACUGGGCGUAAAGGGAGUCUAGGCGGUCAGGUAAGUGGGACGUGAAAUCCCUCGGCUCACCCGAGGAUCUGCAUCCCAAACUGCCCGGCUUGAGUAUGGGAGAGGAUGAGGGAAUUCCUGGUGUAGCGGUGAAAUGCGUAGAUAUCAGGAGGAACACCGGUGGCGAAAGCGCUCAUCUGGCCCAAUACUGACGCUGAGGCGCGAAAGCUAGGGGAGCAAACGGG